GGAUACGCGAGCCGAUAAGACUCGUGCACGGAAUAAACGAAUCGAGUGGUGGCUUUGAUCGACCCGCAGGAUAUAACCCGGAUACAACGUCUCAUGUGUACGUGUAAUAUCGUGGACAAAAGGCCUAAGAGAUAUCGGGUGAACCAUAAACAGUGUCGUGCGAAAGCCAAGGUGCCAACAGGCCCAUCGAUGUGUCGUCGUUCCUUCGUGAUCCUGGCUACGAGCGAUUGCGGAACACGUGCGUGGUGGAGCUAAGACAAAAGACAAAGGGAUGCUAAGGGACAUAGACGAAUUAACAGUCAGUGUCAGUGGAGAAGACGGAGAGUGCGAAUUUGAGAAGUCAGAGAUUGCGAAUUGCAUUGUCGAGAGAGCGUGAUCCGUGGUGACGAGAGUUGCGAAUUAACUAUCUAGUUGUCUUAAUUAUAGCACGUUUUACAACCAUACAUUUAGUUCACGUUAAACAACCAUCGUUUCCUGUUUAAUCAACAUCUGUACAACCCUUAAUUAUUAAUAAAUUAAUUAUAGUAUAAGAUGUUGAGGAAAUAUUAGGUUGGUAUGAUCACUAGUUCCUACAUGCUAAGUUGGUACGACUUUUAACGACGCUCCUUUGUCUUUGGCGUUGGCCAC
rnacentral:misc_RNA from 1 species